rnacentral:rRNA from 1 species
AAAACACAGCACUUUGCUAACACGUAAGUGGAUGUAUAAGGUGUGACGCCUGCCCGGUGCUCGAAGGUUAAUUGAUGAUGUCAGCGCAAGCGAAGCAUUUGAUCGAAGCCCGAGUAAACGGCGGCCGUAACUAUAACGGUCCUAAGGUAGCGAAAUUCCUUGUCAGUUAAAUACUGACCUGCAUGAAUGGCGUAACGAGAUGGGAGCUGUCUCAAAGAGGGAUCCAGUGAAAUUGUAGUGGAGGUGAAAAAUUCCUCCUACCCGCGGAAAGACGGAAAGACCCCGUGCACCUUUACUACAGCUUGACACUGUAGCUUGGAUAUUCAUGUGCAGGAUAGGUGGGAGGCUAUGAUGACUAGACGUAAGUAGAGUCGGAGCCAUCCUUGAGAUACCACCCUUGAAUAUUUGAGUUACUAACUGCGAUGAGUUAUCCUCAUUCAGGACAAUGUCUGGUGGGUAGUUUGACUGGGGC